rnacentral:rRNA from 1 species
AGUGAACGCUGGCGGCGUGCUUAACACAUGCAAGUCGAACGAGAACGGAUUAUAGCUUGCUAUAAUUGUCAGCUAAGUGGCGCACGGGUGAGUAAUGUAUAGGUAAUAUGCCUCUUACUAAGGGAUAACAAAUGGAAACGUUUGCUAAUACCUUAUACUCCUUAUUAACAUAAGUUAAUAAGGGAAAGAUUUAUUGGUAAGAGAUUAGCCUGUAUUGUAUCAGUUAGUUGGUGGGGUAAUGGCUUACCAAGACUAUGACACAUAACUGGUUUGAGAGGAUGAUCAGUCACACUGGAACUGAGACACGGUCCAGACUCCUACGGGAGGCAGCAGUGGGGAAUAUUGCACAAUGGACGAAAGUCUGAUGCAGCAACGCCGCGUGGAGGAUGACACAUUUCGGUGCGUAAACUCCUUUUAUAUGAGAAGAUAAUGACGGUAUUAUAUGAAUAAGCACCGGCUAACUCCGUG